rnacentral:rRNA from 1 species
AACGAACGCUGGCGGCAUGCCUAACACAUGCAAGUCGAACGAGACCUUCGGGCCUAGUGGCGCAUGGGUGCGUAACGCGUGAGAACCUGCCCUUAGGUUCGGAAUAACUCCCUGAAAGGGGUGCAAUAACCGGAACAGUUGCUCGGACCAAAGAUCUUUGGCCUUUGGAUGGGCCCGCGCUGAAUUCGCUAGUUGGUAGGGUAAAAGCCUACCAAGGUGACGAGCCAUAGCUGGUCUGAGAGGAUGAUCAGCCACACUGGGACUGGGACACGGCCCAGACUCCUACGGGAGGCAGCAGUGGGGAAUAUUGGAAAGUGGGGGAAAGCCUGAUCCAGCAAUGCCGCGUGAGUGAUGAAGGCCGUAGGGUAGUAAAGCUCUUUUACCCGUGAUGAUAAUGACGUUACCGGGAGAAUAAGCACCGGCUAACUCCGUG